AUGGACGCCGCCACCCUGCGGAAGCGGCCGCUCUCGGUCAAGACGGCCGCCGGACGCGAAGGGCGGACGGCGCCGGAAGCAGAGCUGGGGGAGCCGGUCAGCCCCUCCGCGAGGCUCGUGGAGGACUUCUACAUCAUCGUCCUCAUGGGCGCCUCCACGCCCCUCAACCUCCCCGCCCUCCGCGCCGGCAUCGAGGCCCAGCUCGCACGCUACCCACACUUCCGCAGCAUCCAGGUGACGGACAAGGACGGCAACCUGCGGUGGGCGCCGACGACGGUGAACGUGGACAACCACCUCAUCCGCCCGACGCUGGACCCGGCCGCCGUGGCGGCCAACCCGGACAAGGCCGUGGAGGACUACGUGGCGUCGCUGUCCACGCUGCCCAUGGACCGGUCCCAGCCGCUCUGGGAGUUCCACCUCUUCGACUUCCCGACCUCCGAGGCGACGUCCACCGCGGCCAUCCGCGUGCACCACUCCCUCGGGGACGGCAUGUCGCUGCUCACGCUCCUCAUGGCCUGCACGCGCAGCGCCGCCGACCCGACCAGGCUGCCGGCCAUGCCGCCGCUGCCAUCGCGCACGGGCGCCAUCUACCAGCGCCCGCGCCCUUCGGCGGGCGUCCUGGCGAUCGUCGCGUGGGUCUGGUCGUUCGUCGUGCUCGCCUGGCACACCGUGGUGGACGUCGUCGGCUUCUUCGCGACCAUACUGUUCUUGAAGGAUCCGCACACGCUGUUCAAGCGGGUGAACCACGCCGAGACGCAGCGCAAGCGCAUCGUGCACCGGAGGCUUAGCCUCGACGACGUCAAGUUCGUCAAGAACGCCAUGAAAUGCACAGUUAACGAUGUGUUGAUUGGAGUCACAUACGCUGCCCUGUCGCGCUAUCACUUCCGAAAGUCAGGUGGUGAAACCGACACUGGCAAAGAGAUACGCGUGCGCUCAAUGCUUCUUGUCAACUUAAGGCCCACCACAAGCCUACACGCAUGUGUUGAUAUGAUAAAGUCGGGCAAAGAAAGCCACGUGAAAUGGGGAAAUGAACUUGGGUUCAUCAUCCUUCCGUUCUUCAUCGGCAUGCACAGCGACCCGCUCGACUACGUUCGCAAGGGGAAGAAGGUUGUGGACAGGAAGAAGAGCUCACUGGAGGUGGUAUUCACACAUGUCGCCGCAGAAGUGAUCUUCAAAGUGUUUGGACUGAAGGCAGCUUCGGCUAUCUUCCAUCGUAUGAUCUCCCAUACCACCAUAUCGUUCGCCAACAUGACCGGCCCGGUUGAACAGGUGGAGUUUUGUGGGCAUCCAAUCGUCUUCAUCGCCCCUAGCGGCUAUGGACCGCCAGAAGCCCUAACCGUGAAUUAUCAAAGCUAUGUCAACACCAUCAUGAUAAAUCUAGCACUGGAUGAGGGACACUUUCCUGACUAUGAUGAACUUUUGGAUGACUUUGUUGAAUCCCUUGAGCAUAUUAAGAAUGCAGCUUCACGCCUUGGAAUGCAUCAUAGGAAGGCCUAA
rnacentral:rRNA from 1 species